AAGACUAUACUUUCAGGGAUCAUUUCUAUAGUUUGUAACUGGUGAAAUGUGCUCUAAAGUGUCCAAACUCAGUAACCACGAGGAAGAGCUUAAAUGUUCGCUCCUGAGCGUGAAGUGGGUAUUUAGUGCUGCUUAAUUGUAGCUGCUAGAUGCCGUUGAUGAUCGUUCCUCUCUUCAGUAAUGGAGAGUUGGAGGGAGAGAACACAAGCUGAGUGGU